UACGAAGGGGGCUAGCGUUGCUCGGAAUCACUGGGCGUAAAGCGCACGUAGGCGGAUUGCUAAGUCAGGGGUGAAAUCCUGGAGCUCAACUCCAGAACUGCCUUUGAUACUGGCGACCUUGAGUCCGGGAGAGGUGAGUGGAACUGCGAGUGUAGAGGUGAAAUGCGCAGAUAUCAGGAAGAACACCUAUGGCGAAGGCAGCUCUCUGGGACGGUACUGACGCUGAGACGCGAAAGCGUGGGGAGCGAACAGG
rnacentral:rRNA from 1 species